UACGUAGGGUGCGAGCGUUGUCCGGAUUUAUUGGGCGUAAAGAGCGUGUAGGCGGCCAGGUAGGUCGGUUGUGAAAACUCGAGGCUCAACCUCGAGAUGUCGACCGAAACCAUCUGGCUAGAGUCCGGAAGAGGAGAAUGGAAUUCCCGGUGUAGCGGUGAAAUGCGCAGAUAUCGGGAAGAACACCCGUGGCGAAGGCGGUUCUCUGGGACGGUACUGACGCUGAGACGCGAAAGCGUGGGGAGCGAACAGG
rnacentral:rRNA from 1 species